rnacentral:lncRNA from 12 species
GGGCUCUGCCAUUUGGUAGCCUGUUGUACCUGAAGAGCCCUUUGCCUGUGUUUGGAAUGAGCAGUUAUUUUUGAUACUGUUUCUGAUGUUAGCCAUGGAUACUCCCGGAGUAUUUCCAAGUUUUCUAAAUAUUCCUGUGUCUUCUCCCUGUUUUGGUUUGUUACAUUUUUUUCUAUUUUUUUUUUUUUUCUAUGCUUAUGUCACUCUGCUUUCCACCAGGUUGGAAAGGAAGAACCUAUCUUGGAGUUCCCUGCACAAGAUUCCUGUUUCCAGCCUCACUGUGUCUGGCUACCCUCAGAGCACUGCUGCCUAUUGCAGUGAGCAGAAGGGAGCUCUGGUUGGGUGCUGCUCUGACCAUGCAAUGCCACUGGUGUCCCUACAGCAUGGCAGAGCAUUGCAUCAGCCUUGCUCACAACUGGGAGGAGGACAGCCUCACCAGCAGCCUGAGCAGAAGUGAGGAGAAGGGAAGUUUUGUGCUCUUCACAUGGCAGGCAAAGCCUCUUUGCAUAAACUCUGCUAACAGGUGAGUUUCAUUUUCAUCUAUUCAUUCUUGAAAGCAAGUUAA